CCUACGCGGGGCAGCAGUGAGGAAUAUUGGUCAAUGGGCGGAAGCCUGAACCAGCCAAGUAGCGUGCAGGAUGACGGCCCUACGGGUUGUAAACUGCUUUUAUACGGGAAUAACGCGCCUUACGUGUAGGGCUUUGCAUGUACCGUAUGAAUAAGGACCGGCUAAUUCCGUGCCCGCAGCCGCGGUAAUACGGAAGGUCCGGGCGUUAUCCGGAUUUAGUGGGUUUAAAGGGAGCGUAGGCCGCAUGUCAAGCGUGCUGUGAAAUGGCCGGGCUCAACCCGGGCCUUGCAGCGCGAACUGGCGUGCUUGAGUCCGCGGAAAGCAGGCGGAAUUCGUCGUGUAGCGGGGAAAUGCUUAGAUAUGACGAAGAACCCAGAUUGAGAAGGCAGCUUGCUGCAGCGGAACUGACGCUGAUGCUCGAAAGCGCGGGUAUCGAACAGGAUUAGAUACCCGUGUAGUC
rnacentral:rRNA from 1 species